rnacentral:rRNA from 1 species
UACGUAGGGUGCAAGCGUUGUCCGGAAUUACUGGGCGUAAAGCGCACGUAGGCGGACAUUUAAGUCAGGGGUGAAAUCCCAGAGCUCAACUCUGGAACUGCCUUUGAUACUGGGUGUCUUGAGUAUGGAAGAGGUGAGUGGAAUUCCGAGUGUAGAGGUGAAAUUCGUAGAUAUUCGGAGGAACACCAGUGGCGAAGGCGGCUCACUGGGUCCAUUACU